GGUGAAAUUCGUAGAUAUUAGAAAGAAUACCAAUUGCGAAGGCAGCUUUCUGGAUCAUUACUGACACUGAGGAACGAAAGCAUGGGUAGCGAAGAGGAUUAGAUACCCUCGUAGUCCAUGCCGUAAACGAUGUGUGUUAGACGUUGGAAAUUUAUUUUCAGUGUCGCAGCGAAAGCGAUAAACACACCGCCUGGGGAGUACGACCGCAAGGUUAAAACUCAAAUGAAUUGACGGGGACCCGCACAAGUAGUGGAGCAUGUGGUUUAAUUCGAAGAUACGCGCAGAACCUUACCAACACUUGACAUGUUCGUCGCGACUUUAAGAGAUUAAAGUUUUCGGUUCGGCCGGACGAAACACAGGUGCUGCAUGGCUGUCGUCAGCUCGUGUCGUGAGAUGUUGGGUUAAGUCCCGCAACGAGCGCAACCCUCACUUUUAGUUGCCAUCAUUAAGUUGGGCACUCUGAAAGAACUGCCAGUGAUAAGCUGGAGGAAGGUGGGGAUGACGUCAAGUCCUCAUGGCCCUUACGUGUUGGGCUACACACGUGCUACAAUGGUAUCUACAACAGGAAGCAAAACAGCGAUGUUAAGCAAAUCCUUAAAAGAUACCUCAGUUCGGAUUGCACUCUGCAACUCGAGUGCAUGAAGCUGGAAUUACUAGUAAUCGUGGAUCAGCGUGCCACGGUGAAUGCGUUCCCGGGUCUUGUACACACCGCCCGUCACACCAUGGGAGUUGGUUCUACCUUAAGGCAAGGUUUAAUACCCUUGA
rnacentral:rRNA from 1 species